rnacentral:rRNA from 1 species
UACGGAGGGUGCAAGCGUUAAUCGGAAUUACUGGGCGUAAAGCGCACGUAGGUGGUUUUCUAAGUCAGUUGUGAAAUCCCCGGGCUCAACCUGGGACUUGCAGUUGAAACUGGAAAGCUAGAGUAGGGUAGAGGGGUGUGGAAUUCCAGGUGUAGCGGUGAAAUGCGUAGAUAUCUGGAGGAACAUCAGUGGCGAAGGCGGCGAUCUGGGAAGAUACUGACGCUGAGGUGCGAAAGCGUGGGGAGCAAACAGG